UGGGGAAUAUUGGACAAUGGGCGCAAGCCUGAUCCAGCCAUGCCGCGUGAGUGACGAAGGCCUUAGGGUUGUAAAGCUCUUUUAGCGGGGACGAUAAUGACGGUACCCGCAGAAUAAGCCCCGGCUAACUUCGUGCCAGCAGCCGCGGUAAUACGAAGGGGGCUAGCGUUGUUCGGAAUUACUGGGCGUAAAGCGCACGUAGGCGGAUGUGCCAGUCAGGGGUGAAAUCCCGAGGCUCAACCUCGGAACUGCCUCCGAUACAGCACGUCUCGAGUCCGGAAGAGGUGAGUGGAAUUCCUAGUGUAGAGGUGAAAUGCGUAGAUAUCCGGAGGAACACCAGUGGCGAAGGCGGCUACCUGGACCAAUACUGACGCUGAGGCGCGAAAGCGUGGGGAGCAAACAGGAUUAGAUACCCCCGUAGUCCCUGAGCGGGCUGGCAAGGCGC
rnacentral:rRNA from 1 species